rnacentral:rRNA from 1 species
AUUGAACGCUGGCGGCAGGCCUAACACAUGCAAGUCGAGCGGUAGCACAGAGAGCUUGCUCUCGGGUGACGAGCGGCGGACGGGUGAGUAAUGUCUGGGAAACUGCCUGAUGGAGGGGGAUAACUACUGGAAACGGUAGCUAAUACCGCAUAACGUCGCAAGACCAAAGUGGGGGACCUUCGGGCCUCAUGCCAUCAGAUGUGCCCAGAUGGGAUUAGCUAGUAGGUGGGGUAACGGCUCACCUAGGCGACGAUCCCUAGCUGGUCUGAGAGGAUGACCAGCCACACUGGAACUGAGACACGGUCCAGACUCCUACGGGAGGCAGCAGUGGGGAAUAUUGCACAAUGGGCGCAAGCCUGAUGCAGCCAUGCCGCGUGUGUGAAGAAGGCCUUCGGGUUGUAAAGCACUUUCAGCGGGGAGGAAGGCGUUAAGGUUAAUAACCUUGGCGAUUGACGUUACCCGCAGAAGAAGCACCGGCUAACUCCGUGCCAGCAGCCGCGGUAAUACGGAGGGUGCAAGCGUUAAUCGGAAUUACUGGGCGUAAAGCGCACGCAGGCGGUCUGUCAAGUCGGAUGUGAAAUCCCCGGGCUCAACCUGGGAACUGCAUUCGAAACUGGCAGGCUAGAGUCUUGUAGAGGGGGGUAGAAUUCCAGGUGUAGCGGUGAAAUGCGUAGAGAUCUGGAGGAAUACCGGUGGCGAAGGCGGCCCCCUGGACAAAGACUGACGCUCAGGUGCGAAAGCGUGGGGAGCAAACAGGAUUAGAUACCCUGGUAGUCCACGCCGUAAACGAUGUCGAUUUGGAGGUUGUGCCCUUGAGGCGUGGCUUCCGGAGCUAACGCGUUAAAUCGACCGCCUGGGGAGUACGGCCGCAAGGUUAAAACUCAAAUGAAUUGACGGGGGCCCGCACAAGCGGUGGAGCAUGUGGCUUAAUUCGAUGCAACGCGAAGAACCUUACCUGGUCUUGACAUCCACAGAACUUUCCAGAGAUGGAUUGGUGCCUUCGGGAACUGUGAGACAGGUGCUGCAUGGCUGUCGUCAGCUCGUGUUGUGAAAUGUUGGGUUAAGUCCCGCAACGAGCGCAACCCUUAUCCUUUGUUGCCAGCGGUUAGGCCGGGAACUCAAAGGAGACUGCCAGUGAUAAACUGGAGGAAGGUGGGGAUGACGUCAAGUCAUCAUGGCCCUUACGACCAGGGCUACACACGUGCUACAAUGGCAUAUACAAAGAGAAGCGACCUCGCGAGAGCAAGCGGACCUCAUAAAGUAUGUCGUAGUCCGGAUUGGAGUCUGCAACUCGACUCCAUGAAGUCGGAAUCGCUAGUAAUCGUAGAUCAGAAUGCUACGGUGAAUACGUUCCCGGGCCU